rnacentral:lncRNA from 1 species
GGGGAGGGGUUUUGAAAAGGUUGUGGUGAAUACAGACAAAUUAACUGAAAUCCAAAACACAAAUGCAAACAAAAAUGUAAACACAGAUCUAAAGAAAACGGUUUCAAACACAAACUAAAGAAGGUUGGUCAUUUACUUAACUACAAUGUUUCCAAUCACAGAUCCACAAAAUAAGGUUGCAACUCAAACCUCUAAUCCAACAAAGUUAACUAACUAAGCGAAGGUUAACCCUGUUUUCAUAAAAGCGAACUAAGCGAACGCAGUGUUAAUAUCAAAUCUAAUUUACACCAUUCAGUUA